rnacentral:misc_RNA from 1 species
AAGUAUAAAUGUAUGGAUGUUUCUGAUAUUGUCGAAGAAGAUGAGGAAGCCUUUUUAAAGGGCUCUAGUAAAGUAUUUCAGUUGCAGUCACAUGGAAACCAAUAUGACGUGUCAGUAUUUAAUGAUGAUGGCUCAGAAUCAGGAAAUUUUGGUAUUAUGCAAGGGUCAGUUCAAAAUGAGAAACAAAGGAGCUCUUGUGUUAGUGCAGAAC